UUGACAAUAAAUCAGGUUAUUAGACAAAAGAAAAGACCUGCUGGAGCUAAAUGAAAAAUUAAAGAACAGCCAAAUUACUCAAAUUCAUCAAGAGGGGACAUAUGUUCUGUACCAGCUGCCAGAUGUACAAGUCUGCAUGAAAACACGGACUAAUACUGCCACCUACUGGCUGUCUCAAGAUACAUUUUGACUUCAAGUCCAGGAAGCGAAGUGCAGGCAGCUCCAGGUUCUUGGGAAACUCCUGCAGCAUGUUUCCAGAAAGAUCUAACUUCUCCAGAGACUGGAGACGGGACAGCAGCUUGACAGGAAGAAGCACAAUUCAGGAGUGAAGAUGGCAAACUGAAGAUAGGGCUGAGAUAAGUGUCCUCCUAGUUUAUUUAUAUUGUCAAUCCUGUUCUAAUCACGCAACCAGAGCACCGCCCACAUGGCCAAAACAAACUGACUACAUCAAGGACUGAAACUCCGUAAAAGCUCUUUAAGAAUAUGAUUAGAUACAAACAAUAGGAUAAGAAAACAUGAAUUACAAACAUGGUCUGUAACUGCUUUAGAAGGCCUGAUUAGUAAUCAGCACCACUGAUCAGCUUCAAGAACAAUGAAAAUUCCUGUGGAUGAGAAACGCUGUAGUACACACAAAGACUUAAACAAGUAGAUUUGUGUUUAAUAUUAUUACACAGAUACUGUUUACAACUGAGCUUGUUCCACUUGUUUUAGCUGGUCUAAUUACUCUUUUUUGGCAUUUUUGGCAUUUAGCAAUUAAAAUCCCCUCUUGCUCCUCAGCAUGAUUAAUCUGUUAAAGAAAUGGAAAAUUUCCUCCAAAAACAGUUUACGAUAAAUAAGCGGCUAUUCAACAAUAACAGGCUAAAUGCGAUUUCAUAACGCUCUAUCCUUUAAGUAACGUUGUCAUAACGUCUAUAUAGAGAUCCAUACUAAGGUGAGGAAGGAUAUUUCACGUAAAGAAGAUGAGAAAGCGUUAUAUGAUAAUAAGUUUGAGUUUCUCCUAGCUAACCACGUUGGCAGUGCCGACAGCCGUAUAUAUCUCUAUAUAUUUACAUUUCUCGGCUACAAACACAAAUAACAAUUAUUGAUUUAAUUAGAGCAAGCGUUAGUGGUUUUGCUUUUGUUAUUAAACAGCUUAAAACUUGUCAAUAUAUGUGAUUAAU